UUUUUGUUAUUAGUAUAUUUUAUAUCUUUCUUUUGUAAAAUAUUUAGAUUUUUGAUAGGGUUUGGAAAGGAAUUUAAAAUUUGUUUUUUGAACUGGAUUAGUACCCAGGUAAACAAAGUUUAUUAAUACGGGAGUAAAGUUUUGUUUAAACCGAAAAAAUAUUGACUGACUUUGGAUUUUUCUUUGGAAUAUGUAUUUUUUGGAUGGCCCUCCUUUUUGGUAGAUUUUGUUGGCACAUGUAUGAUUGUUUAGUUUUUAUUUUUUCUUGUGAUGCUUUUCUUUUUGGUUGAAAAACAGAUAGAUAUUUGGCUUAUAAAUUUUGUUUUAUGUAUUACUAUUUUAAAUUUUUUUUGGAUAUUUUUAUUGAAUUUUUUAUUGAAAUUGGAAAAGAAAGUAAUUUUUUUUUAAUGUGGUUGUGAAUUUAAUAAGUGAAGUGGUACAAACCAUCCGUCAA
rnacentral:rRNA from 1 species